CCUCAAACUGUUGCUCUCCUCCAUAAGGGGAGAGAUGGGCCAUUUAUCAUACACUGAUGCUGCCUGUUUUAAAAGCACCCUGCCCAUUGUGACCUUAUGUGAACACUACAUGCUUUAAGACUUUACACUAAAAAAAUGCUACUCAAUGUCAGAAUACAAAAUGGAGCAUGAAGAUACAGUAUUACAAUUAUCGCCAGGGAGGUUGGCAAAUCGUUGAGUCUGAGUCCCAAGUUGAUACUAACUCCCGAGUCUGAGUCCCUGUUGAACACAAGCUUUAUUCCCUAGGAAAAAGAAAGGGAAAGGUGAUUCCCCAUGCCUGGUCAUCCCCGGAAGAGAAUUAAACAAUGAAACAAUUGAAAACAAGAAUCAAUAAACGCCAGAAGAAUUCCAAAGGCCAGUUUGACAAACAUUACGUUCACACUCUAUUUAAAGGCAAGAAGAACCUUUACUGGCUCAGAGCUGAACAGUCGCUUGCUAAAUAUGCUUUUACCUUGGUUGAUACAUCUUUCCCGGUGCACUUUCCAGAACCCUCUUUAGUGAUAUACCUGGAGGUAUGCUGACUCCUGUGCAACAACAUGCAUGCCCUUGCGAUUCCCUACGGAGACAAAAUUCUGCUACCUUCCUGAGAUGACUGUAAGAACUAAGGAUGGAGAGCAUCCUCACCCUAGUUGGAUUUUAGGAUAAGGUGGACUACUGUUGAAUGUGUGUUGUGGAAAGACAGCUACUUGGACACCAUAUUAGGAAGCUUGAGUCAAAACUAAAUAAUAGCACAACCCAGUUAUUAAACGCAUAUGUGGGUGUGGACCAAAGGAUUACAGAUUACUGCAUGGGAAGAUUUGUCAACCUCGUUUCCAAGGACAUUCUCCUUUUCCCACCUCAAAGUCUAUCUUUUGGUGGUUCUGGCAGAAUUAUACUUAAAAACCUUUAUUGGCAUUAAAAGGGGAUAAAACAGCAGAAUUUAUUGUA
rnacentral:lncRNA from 1 species